UACGUGGGGACCAAGCGUUGUUCGGAUUUACUGGGCGUAAAGGGCGCGUAGGCGGCGUGGUAAGUCACUUGUGAAAUCUCUGAGCUUAACUCAGAACGGCCAAGUGAUACUGCUGUGCUAGAGUGCAGAAGGGGCAAUCGGAAUUCUUGGUGUAGCGGUGAAAUGCGUAGAUAUCAAGAGGAACACCUGAGGUGAAGACGGGUUGCUGGGCCGACACUGACGCUGAGGCGCGAAAGCCAGGGGAGCAAACGGG
rnacentral:rRNA from 1 species